GGCCCGAGUCACUGCUGGUGCGCAGCAGAGCAGAGGGCUUCCUGGGGGCCCCAGCUUCCUCUUCCUCCACCCCACACCACAUCACAUGUACCACAAGCCUCUCCUGUGGAGGAGGAAGCUGCCGAAGCACAGCCUUUGGGGGAUACUGUAGUAGGCUGAAUGGUGGCCUCCUCCCCGAAUCUAAGUCCGUGUUCUAACUCCCGGAACCCGUGAGUGCAAACUUGUUUGGAAAAAGGGUCCCUGCAAGUGUAAUUAGUGACUUGUGUGGCCGCCCUGGGGAAACAGGCCCUACUGGGGACUCUGGCCGCGGGCAUGAGCCGUCAGCUGCCCUCAGCAAACCCACUCGGCGCGUGGCUCCCCAGGGUGCUGUCGGAAGAAGGAUCCCCCCUGUUUUAUGCGGGAACACUUGGCCAGCUCUGAAGUGAUGUACAAAUUCGUUUUUAAAAAAGAAUCACUGGGACUCCUGGGUGGCUCAGUGGUUGAGCAUCUGCCUUUGGCUCAGGGCAUGAUUUUAGGGUCCUGAGAUCAAAUCCUGCAUCAGGCAUCCUGCAGGG